rnacentral:lncRNA from 1 species
GGGUCAAGGCUUCGAACGCCUCCCAAGGAGGUGCAUCCCUGCAAGAGGCUGCAUCCAGCAGUCAUGGAAGAGGCUCCCCUGGGGCCUGCUCCAAUUCCUGCUGGGGAAAUCAAGUGGAGGUGCCCCUUGAAGAAAUGGUGAGGCCACCAAUUUCAGGGGUUCUGUCCUGGCCUGCGGCCCUGGAUCGUCCAGCCUCUGCUGGGAUGGGGAGCAGAUGACGCCCUUCUUGGCUGGAGCUGAGGGUGGGGGUCCCGCUUCCCCAAAGGCCUAGCCCUGGAUUCCAGCCACAGGUCCUACUGGGCAGCACCUGGCGCCGCCCCGCCCCUCCAGGCCUGGCACUCGCCCUUAAGAAACAUGGCGGCGAUGGCCUCACGCACCUCACGCCGCAGGCGCGUCACGCCACAGGCCAGCAAGGCUUCCUGUGUGCCACUCUCCUCCCCUCAGACUGGCUGCCAAAACAGGGAGCGGUAAGUAUGACCUGGCUGGUGGCGGUGUCCUGGGCGGCUCUGGGGCCGCUGUUGUGUGGCUGCCCGCAGGCGCUGCAGGGCGGGAUGCUGUACACCAGGGAGAGCGCGUCGCGGGAGCGCAAGGAACUCCAUGGCCUCUGAAGCUUCCAAGCCCACUUCUCCGACAACCGACGCCUGGGCUUCCAGGAGCAGAGUCGGGCCCCACCUUGGACAUACCAGUUCUCUCCAUCUUGAAUGACAUCAGCCAGGACUGGGCAUUUUGUCAGCUCGGUGUGGUAGGAACGGGAAGUGACCCUGCUGAAGCGAUGGAUCCAGGACCUGUACACAAGAGUUGUGCUGAGGAUUGGCAGUGCCCACCUCUAUGCCAUUGUGGUCGGGGUGGCCAGGAGCAGGGGAUCCGCACUGUGGCUGUCACUGAGAGCCCAUUCCUCAUCAAUGGGAAACCUUUCUAUUUCCACGGAGUCAAGAAGCAUGAGGAUGUAGACGUGCACUGCGGCUCCUGGGUCCUCGUGGGGGCUGCUUCUGGUCACCUUCCACUUUUGCCUUCCCUGUGUCCUGCAGUUCAGGCCGAUGAGGCAAAUGAGCUUCCCUGUGGCAGCUCAGGAUGA